rnacentral:ribozyme from 1 species
UGCCCAGCAACUCCUAUCCCUACCUCCUCGCGGUAUUGGCCGGGGUACGAGUAACCUUAGGGAAGAUCGGGUAACCAACCCCCGGUGGGAACUUUAGUCGUAUGCUGACAGGGAAGG